rnacentral:piRNA from 1 species
UCCUCAAGUGGGAUAGGGACCUAUGC